UGGGCGGUUGCCGAAAAGCCCAGAAAAAGAGUAGGCU
rnacentral:ncRNA from 1 species